UUAAAUCAUUAAAUUUAAAAGAUUUGGCGGUAUUUUAAAUAAUUAGAGGAACCUGUGUAGUGAUUGAUAAUCCACGAUAAGAAUUACUUAUGAGUUUAUGUAUUGCUGUUAAAAGAUUAUUAUUAAUUAAAUUUUUAAAUAAUUAUUUUAAUUUAAUUCAAGUCAAAAUAUAGUUUAUUUAAGAUAUGGGUUACAAUUUAAUUUUGAAAAAGGAUUUAAUAGUAA
rnacentral:rRNA from 1 species